rnacentral:rRNA from 1 species
UACGAAGGGUGCAAGCGUUAAUCGGAAUUACUGGGCGUAAAGGGUGCGUAGGCGGUUCGUUAAGUCUGUCGUGAAAUCCCCGGGCUCAACCUGGGAAUGGCGAUGGAUACUGGCGAGCUAGAGUGUGUCAGAGGAUGGUGGAAUUCCCGGUGUAGCGGUGAAAUGCGUAGAUAUCUGGAGGAACACCGGUGGCGAAGGCGGCAUCCUGGACCGGCAUUGACGCUGAGGCGCGAAAGCCAGGGGAGCAAACAGG